rnacentral:rRNA from 1 species
CUACGGGAUGCUGCAGUGGGGAAUAUUGCACAAUGGGGGGAACCCUGAUGCAGCAACGCCGCGUGGAGGAUGACACAUUUCGGUGUGUAAACUCCUUUUAUAUGUCAAGAAAAUGACGGUACCAUAUGAAUAAGCACCGGCUAACUCCGUGCCAGCAGCCGCGGUAAUACGGAGGGUGCAAGCGUUACUCGGAAUCACUGGGCGUAAAGGACGCGUAGGCGGGUUGGAAAGUCAGGUGUGAAAUCCUACAGCUUAACUGUAGAACUGCACUUGAAACUUCUAAUCUAGAGUAUGGGAGGGGGAGAUGGAAUUAGUGGUGUAGGGGUAAAAUCCGUAGAUAUCACUAGGAAUACCUAAAGCGAAGGCGAUCUCCUGGAACAUUACUGACGCUAAGGCGUGAAAGCGUGGGGAGCAAACAGGAUUAGAUACCCCCGUAGUC